GCCAGACUCCUACGGGAGGCAGCAGUGGGGAAUAUUGCACAAUGGGGGAAACCCUGAUGCAGCGACGCCGCGUGGGUGAAGAAGUAUUUCGGUAUGUAAAGCUCUCUCAGCAGGGAAGAAAAUGACGGUACCUGACUAAGAAGCCCCGGCUAACUACGUGCCAGCAGCCGCGGUAAUACGUAGGGGGCAAGCGUUAUCCGGAUUUACUGGGUGUAAAGGGAGCGUAGACGGUGAUGCAAGUCAGAAGUGAAAGCCCGGGGCUCAACUCCGGGACUGCUUUUGAAACUGUGUAACUGGAGUGCAGGAGAGGUAAGCGGAAUUCCUAGUGUAGCGGUGAAAUGCGUAGAUAUUAGGAGGAACACCAGUGGCGAAGGCGGCUUACUGGACUGUAACUGACGUUGGGGCUCGAAAGCGUGGGGAGCAAACAGGAUUAGAUACCCGGGUA
rnacentral:rRNA from 1 species